rnacentral:rRNA from 1 species
AUUGAACGCUGGCGGCAUGCCUUACACAUGCAAGUCGAACGGUAACGCGGGGCAACCUGGCGACGAGUGGCGAACGGGUGAGUAAUGCAUCGGAACGUGCCCGGUAGUGGGGGAUAACUGCUCGAAAGAGCAGCUAAUACCGCAUACGACCUGAGGGUGAAAGGGGGGGAUCGCAAGACCUCUCGCUAUCGGAGCGGCCGAUGUCGGAUUAGCUAGUUGGUGGGGUAAAGGCGUACCAAGGCGACGAUCCGUAGCUGGUCUGAGAGGAAGACCGGCCACACUGGGACGGAGACACCGCCCAGACUCCUACUGGAAGCAGCCGUGGGUAAUUUUGGACAUUGGACGCAAGUCUGAUCCAGCCAUGCCGCGUGCGGGAAGUAGGCUUUCGGGUUGUAUACCGCUUUUGUCAGUGAAGAAAUCUUCUGAGUUAAUACCUCGGGAGGAUGACGGUACCUGAAGAAUAAGCACCGGCUAACUACGUUCCAGCAGCCGCAGUAACAC